rnacentral:miRNA from 1 species
UGAAUGUGGGCAAUGUUAAAA